rnacentral:rRNA from 1 species
AUUGAACGCUGGCGGCAUGCUUUACACAUGCAAGUCGAACGGUAACAGGCCGCAAGGUGCUGACGAGUGGCGAACGGGUGAGUAAUGCAUCGGAACGUGCCCAGUCGUGGGGGAUAACGCAGCGAAAGCUGCGCUAAUACCGCAUACGAUCUCUGGAUGAAAGCGGGGGACCGAAAGGCCUCGCGCGAUUGGAGCGGCCGAUGUCAGAUUAGGUAGUUGGUGGGGGAAAGGCCCACCAAGCCAACGAUCUGUAGCUGGUCUGAGAGGACGACCAGCCACACAGGGACGUAGACACGGCCCAGACUCCUACGGGAGGCAGCAGUGGGGAAUUUUGGACAAUGGGCGCAAGCCUGAUCCAGCAAUGCCGCGUGCAGGAAGAAGGCCUUCGGGUUGUAAACUGCUUUUGUACGGAACGAAGCGGUCCGGGUUAAUACCCUGGGCUAAUGACGGUACCGUAAGAAUAAGCACCGGCUAACUACGUGCCAGCCGCCGCGGUAAAAC